GGAGCAGGCCGCCUUAUCGUUCCGACAUCUAUCGGAGAGGAAAGUCCGGACACCAAAGGGCAGUGUAGUGGGUAACGCCCACCGGUCGUGAGAUCAGGACCAGUGCAACAGAAAGGAUGUACAGGUAAUGCUGUAGUGAAAUCAGGUAAACUCUAUGCGGUGCAAUGCCAUGUAUACCGGUAUUUAAGGAUCGCCCGUCCGUUGCCGGAGGGUAGGCAGCUAAAAAUCAUUGGCAACUUUGAUUUCAGAUAAAUGAUAAGGAUCCCGGUCAAUUAUCGGGAGACAGAAUCCGGCUUAUAGGCCUGCUUUUUUU
rnacentral:RNase_P_RNA from 3 species